CUAAAGUUGUUUGUAAAAGAGCUUCUUGUGCCUACAAGCCUGUAUUACAUUACAGUGUCAUACAAACCACACACACACACACACACACACACACACACACACACACACACACACACACACACACACACACACACGCUAUAUUAGCUUGAUGUGUGUGAUAUGCCAGAUCUGAUGCAGAG